rnacentral:rRNA from 1 species
GAUGAACGCUAGCGGGAGGCCUAACACAUGCAAGCCGAGCGGUAUUUCUUCUUCGGGAGAGAGAGAGCGGCGUACGGGUGCGGAACACGUGUGCAACCUGCCUUUAUCUAGAGGAUAGCCUUUCGAAAGGAAGAUUAAUACUCUAUAAUAUAUUAAUUGGCAUCAAUUGAUAUUGAAAACUCCGGUGGAUAGAGAUGGGCACGCGCAAGAUUAGCUAGUUGGUGAGGUGACGGCUCACCAAGGCAAUGAUCUUUAGGGGGCCUGAGAGGGUGAUCCCCCACACUGGUACUGAGACACGGACCAGACUCCUACGGGAGGCAGCAGUGAGGAAUAUUGGUCAAUGGGUGCAAGCCUGAACCAGCCAUCCCGCGUGAAGGAUUAAGGUCCUAUGGAUUGUAAACUUCUUUUGUAUAGGGAUAAACCUACCCUCGUGAGGGUAGCUGAAGGUACUAUACGAAUAAGCACCGGCUAACUCCGUGCCAGCAGCCGCAGUAAAAC